UUUCCGUUGGUGAACCAGCGGAAGGAUCAUUACAGAGAUCAUGCCCUCACGGGUAGACCUCCCACCCUGUUUAUAUACUAUUGUUGCUUUGGCGGGCCGCCUCGGCCACCGGCUCCGGCUGGUGCGUGCCCGCCAGAGGACCCCAAACUCUGAAUGUUAGUGUCGUCUGAGUACUAUCUAAUAGUUAAAACUUUCAACAACGGAUCUCUUGGUUCUGGCAUCGAUGAAGAACGCAGC
rnacentral:misc_RNA from 1 species